rnacentral:rRNA from 1 species
UACAGAGGGUGCGAGCGUUAAUCGGAAUUACUGGGCGUAAAGCGUGCGUAGCCGGUUAUUUAGGUCGGAUGUGAAAGCCCCGGGCUCAACCUGGGAAUUGCAUUCGAGACUGAAUAGCUAGGGUACGGUAGAGGGAAGCGGAAUUUCCGGUGUAGCGGUGAAAUGCGUAGAUAUCGGAAGGAACAUCAGUGGCGAAAGCGGCUUCCUGGACCAGUACCGACGUUCAGGCACGAAAGCGUGGGGAGCAAACAGG